AUUGAACGCUGGCGGCAGGCCUAACACAUGCAAGUCGAGCGGAUGAAGGGAGCUUGCUCCUGGAUUCAGCGGCGGACGGGUGAGUAAUGCCUAGGAAUCUGCCUGGUAGUGGGGGAUAACGUCCGGAAACGGGCGCUAAUACCGCAUACGUCCUGAGGGAGAAAGUGGGGGAUCUUCGGACCUCACGCUAUCAGAUGAGCCUAGGUCGGAUUAGCUAGUUGGUGGGGUAAAGGCCUACCAAGGCGACGAUCCGUAACUGGUCUGAGAGGAUGAUCAGUCACACUGGAACUGAGACACGGUCCAGACUACUACGGGAGGCAGCAGUGGGGAAUAUUGGACAAUGGGCGAAAGCCUGAUCCAGCCAUGCCGCGUGUGUGAAGAAGGUCUUCGGAUUGUAAAGCACAUUAAGUUGGGAGGAAGGGCAGUAAGUUAAUACCUUGCUGUUUUGACGUUACCAACAGAAUAAGCACCGGCUAACUUCGUG
rnacentral:rRNA from 1 species